UGCAUAUAUUUUUAGGAUCAUUAGCUCUUCUUGUUGUAUUGUUCCUUUUACCAUUAUGUAGUGUCCUUCUUUGCCUCUUUUGAUCUUUGCUGCUUUAAAGUCUAUUUUAUCAGAGGCAAGAAUUGCGACUCCUGCUUUUUAUUUAUUUAUUUAUUUUUGCUCUCCAUUUGGUUGGUAAAUCUUCCUCCAUCCCUUUGUUUUGAGUCUUUGUGUAUCCUUGCAUGUGAGAUGGGUUUUGGCUUUUUAUCCAAUUUGCCUGUCUGUGUCUUUUGAUUGGGGGAUUUAGUCGAUUUAAAUUUAGGAUUAAUAAUAAUAUAUGUGAGUUUAAUACUGCCAUUUGAUGCUAGCUGGCUGUUUUGCCCAUUAGUUGAUAUAAAUUCUUUGUUAUGUUGAUGCUCUUUACCUUUCGGUAUAUUUUUGGAAAGGCUGAUACUGGGUGUUCCUUUCUAUGUAUAGUGCUUCUUUCAGAAGCUCUUGUAAAGCAGGCCUGGUGAUGAUGAAAUCUGAGUACUUGCUUGUUCACAAAAGAUUUUAUUUUUCCUUCGCUUAUGAAGCUUAGUUUGGCUGGAUAUGAAAUUCUGGGCUGAAAGUUCUUUUCUUUAAGGAUGUUGAAAAUUGGCCCCCACACUCUUCUGGCUUGUAGGGUUUCUGCUGAGAGAUUUGCUGUGAGUCUGAUAGGCUUCCCAUUGUGGGUAACCUGAUCUUUCUCUCUGGCUGCUCUUGGCAUUUUCUCCUUCAUUUCAACCCUGGUGAAUCUGACAGUUAUGUGCCUUGGGGUUGCUCUUCUUGAGGAAUAUCUUUGUGGUGUUCUCUGUAUUACCUGGAGUUGAAUAUUGCCCUGCCUUGCUAGGUUGGGAAGGUUUUCCUGAAUAAUAUCCUGAAGAGUAUUUUCCAGCUUGGAUUCAUUCUCUUUGUCGUAUUCAGGUACACCUAUCAAACGUAGAUUAGGUCUUUUCACAUAGUCCCAUAUUUCUUGGAGACUUUGCUCAUUCCUUUUUAUCCUUUUUUCUCUAAUCUUGUCUUCUCGUUUUAUUUCAUUGAGUUGGUCUUCGACCUCUGAUAUCCUUUCUUCUGCUUGAUCAAUUCAACUGUUAAAACUUGUGCAUACUUUGUGACGUUCUCGUGUUGUGUUUUUCAGUUCCAUUAAUUCACUUAUAUUCCUCUCUAAAUUGUCUAUUCUCGUUAGGAUUUCGUCAAACCUUUUUUCAAGGUUCUUAGUUUCUUUGCAUUGGGUUAGAACAUGUUCUUUUAGCUCACAGAAGUUUCUUAUUAUCCACCUUCUGAAGCCUGAUUCUGACAAUUCAUCACACUCAUUCUUCAUCAGGCCUCGUUCCCUUACUGAUGAGGAGCUACAAUCCCCUGAAGGAGGAGAGGCAUUCUGAUUUUGGAUGUUUUCAGCCUUUUUGUGCUGGUUUCUUCACAUCUUUGUGGAUUUAUCCACCUGUCGUCUUUCUAGUUGUUGACUUUCAGAUUGGGUCUCUGAGUGGAUGUCCAGCUUGUUGGUGGUGAUGUUAUUUCUGUUUCUUUGUUUUCCUUCGGAGGAUGCCCCUCCCUCACAGAGCUGGACCUUCCCAGGUUCAGCGGUGCUUGCUGUGAAACUCUCAACCCUCAGCGUUUCUAAUUGCUGUUUUUUUGUGGGGGUGGAACCAGCCAAGCCCGAUCACCUGGCUCCCAGCCUUGGAGCCCCCUUUUUUUCUUUUCCUAAUUGAACGGUCGAUUCUCUCCCAGGUGCCCCAGUCACCCGCUGAAAAGGCGCCAGGAUCUAUGCAAUUUCCCGUGCGGCCACUGUGCUGGCUGAAACAGCUGCGCUGAGAUUCGUGGUGCUUUUCUGCCCGGGAAUCUCCCAGUCGGGCUCCCAGCUUCAGUCCCCUUCUCAAUCAGCUGAAUGGAUGACUCUGCCUUCUCGGAGCUCCAAACGCCAACUAAAAGGGCACCCAGUCCCGCAUACUCCACACUGAGAACCACCAUGCCGGGUUGCCGGCAAAACAGCCGCACCGGCCAAAAGAGUCACGCUGGCAACCCAUAGGGCUCCUCCGCUGCGAAUCUCCUGGUCUGUAGGCAACAAAACUUCGUCUGGAAGUCUGGUGUCCACUCACUCCCUGUGCCUUCACUGGGAGCUGCAACCCUGAGCUGCUGCUAGAUGGCCAUCUUCUCUUUUUUUUUUCUGUAGACAGAGUCUCACUCUGUCACCCAGGAUGGAGUACAAUGGCACGAUCUCAGCUCACUGCAACCUCCACCUCCUGGGUUCAAGCAACUCUCCUGCCUCAGACUUCUUAGUAGCUGGAUUACAGGUGUUUGCCACCAUGCCUAGCUAAUUUUUUGUAUUUUUAUUAGAGAUGAGGUUUUCACCAUGUUGGCCAGGCUGGUCUCGAACUCCUGACCUCAAGUGAUCUGCCUAACUCAGCCUCCCAAAGUGCAGGGAUUACAGGCAUGAGCCAUGCACCUGGCCUACAGCUUCCUCCUUCUUAGAUUACUUUCUUGUUUGGGUGGAGGACUUCCUGAGAGAGGGAGCCUGACAUGCAAACUAUUUGUGAUCUCUGUUUUCUGAAAAUACUUUUUUACUGUACCACUCCUCCUGACUAAUGGUUUUGGGCUUGGAUCUCUAGGCUGUAAAUCAUUCUCACUCAGAAUUCUGAAGACCUGCGCUCCAUUCUGCUCCAGCUUCCAGCACUGCUCCUGAGAAGCCUGCUGCCAUUCUCAUUCCUGAUCCUUUGGAUUCACCUGUUUUCUUUCUGGAUCCUUUUAGGGUCUUUUCUUUAUCCCCGGUUUUCUGCCAGUUCAUGAUAAUGAACCUUGAGAUACAAAUCUUAUUUUCGGCCGGGCGCAGUAGCUCAUGCCUGUAAUCCCAGCACUUUGGGAGACCGAGGCAGGUGGAUCACGAGGUCAACAGAUCGAGACCAUCCUGGUCAACAUGGUGAAACCCCGUCUCUACUAAAAAUACAAAAAAAUUAGCUGGGCAUGGUGGUGCAUGCCUGUAAUCCCGGCUACUCAGGAGGCUGAGGCAGGAGAAUUGCCUGAACCCAGGAGGCAGAGGUUGUGGUGAGCCGAGAUCACGCCAUUGCACUCCAACCUGGGUAACAAGAGCGAAACUCCAUCUCAAAAAAAAAAAAAAAUCUUAUUUUCUCUCCCUGAGAAUUUUAUACAUUUAAAAAGUUUUCUUCUCCUCUCUGAUCAUAUUAAAAGAUUACGUGCUGAAGAGAUGACUAGAUGGAUGGCCAGGCUGCUUGGGAAGAGCCUGGUGAACGGGGCACUUCCCUGUGCAGGGUGGUUGCCCCUGAACUGCUCUUCCAUUGAAGGCCCCAAAUGCCUGUAUCUGUAGGUCUUCGCUUUGAACCUGCUCAGUUUCUACAGAAAAGGGUUCUUUCAUUUUCAGGUGGCAGGGGGCCUGCCACCUGUGGAGUAGGGAGCAGGUUGGGAAGGGUGAAGGGCUGAGAAAUGUGCCCGCUCUGAGGUUAUCUAGAAGCAGGGUGAGGAAAGGGGCUAAGAGUUUAAAUUUUAGUAUCUAGAUUUCCUUUUGUUCCCCAUAUUUCCAGUUCUACAUGCCACACCUGCACUUCUGCCGGAUGUGCUGAUCCAAAGUCCCCAGGGAGUAAACCUCAGAUCUCCUUCAAGAGUGGGCGGGAGCAGACAGCCCACUGCCCACCUGGGCCUCUCACCUGGCUCUCAGGCAGGCACCACUCUCCUGCCAUUCACAGUGCGGUCCUGUCUCCCAGCAGCUCCGCCUGCCUCUCUCCUCCCCUCUGCAGGAUCAGGCCUCAGCUCCCUCCUUGCUUCUGUGUGACUCACCGCUCCUUCCUCUGCUUCCCACCUUCCAAAAAUGUGGUGACAUCCUCCGUCUGCUGCUGUCUCCUCUCCUAUUCUCAGAGACCUCAUCAGGUUUCUUUUUUUUAAUAUUUUUUUCUUAACUCUUUUUACUCCUGUGUAGUUGUUUUUAGUAGGGCUUGGGAGGGAGCAGACAGAUUCACCAGAGACUCCUCUGCCCCGUUUAACCAGAAGUUCUUCUGCAUCAGUUUUCACUCUGAAGCACUUUCAGGGGAUACUUUCCAGGCCCUGUUCUGAAAUCUUGCCUUCAGUCAACACGGUUGCUUUUUAUUUUACUCUGGGGUAGAUGUUUCUUUAUGGGAAGUGGAUCAAAGUCUCAACGCACACUUUGUUUAAAGGUAUUGGUAAAAUACUCUCGACCUUUUGAACAAUAGCAACAAGAUGCAAAUGUGCCUGUCUGCUUUUGUCUUGGAAUAGGGGAUGGAAAAGCUGGAGAGGCGCUUGUCAGCACGGCCUUUGCCCCCAGUGCUUGAAAGUCUGGUCCAUCUCCUGCGUGCGAAUGAAAGGAAUGGGAGCUGAAAUAUCAUCUCCUUUGAAUUCGCUGUGAGCCCCACUUCUCUGUUCUCCUGUGUUUACACAUUACUGCUAUUGUGUUGCAUCUGCUGGUGGAUCUCCUUUCAUCUGCAGGCCACACAAAACCCACUUCAUGUAAAGCUGAGGACACUUUAGCAGUCAUUCCUCUUACUGAAGAGCUCACAGUCUUAGAAAAGGAUCACUGCCAUUUCAGUGGGCUCCGCUGUGCCCUGAUACAGAAAGUUCAGACAAGUGAUGGCCGGAAAGCCGGGAUGGGAGCCCGUGUCAGGGAAGAGUUAGCAGGAGAGUGAGUGGACCAGAUGGAUAGGGCUUUGAAUGCCACACCAAGGUCUUUGGACUUUUCUGCAGGCAGUGGGGAGCCACCCAAGGAUUUUGAGCAGGAGAGUGACAUGGGAUAAACUCUGCUUUCAGAAAAUUAAGUUGGCCAGGCGCUCAUGCCUGGAAUCCCAGCACUUCGGGAGGUCAAGACUGGCAGAUCACCUAAGGUCAGGAGUCAAGACCACCCUGGCCAACAUGGCAAAACCCCAUCUCUACUAAGAAUACGAAAAUUAGUCAGGUGUGGUGUCAGCCACCUAUAGUCCCAGCUACUUGGGAGACUGCAACAGAAUUGCUUGAACUCUGGAGGCAGAGGUUGCAGUGAGUCAAGAUUGCACCACUGCACUCGAGCCUGGGCGACAGAGCAAGACCCUGUCUCUAAAUAAAUAAAAAUACAAAAAUUAGCUGGGUAUGGUGGCAGGUGCCUGUAGUUCCAGCUACUUGGGAGGCUGAGGCAGGAGAAUUGCUUGAACAUGGGAGGUGGAGGUUGCAGUGAACCAAGAUUGUGUCACUGCAAUCAGCCUGGGCAACAGAGUGAAACUCUGUCUCAAAAAAAAAAAAAGAAAGAAAAAAGAAAAAUUAAGCUGAUAGCUGUAGGUCAGAAGGUUCAGAGAGGGAGAGGCUAAAGUCCAGGGGGCUCUAGAUCAGAUCACUGGGGGAGCUUUGUAAAAAUCCACCCCCCAGCCUCUGCCCUUCAAGAUUUUGUUUCAGGUGGUUUGAGGGAGGGGAACUAGGAAUCUGCAUUCUCAAAACAUUCCACAGGUGCAGAGGCCAUUGUGACAGGCUGCUAAAGGGGAACAGACCCCAAAUAUGGGGCUGAGAGUCUAGGGAAGGAGAAGGGAAAUAGACUGUGGGAGGCUCCCCUGAGGGGACUCCCACCUGGCCUCUGCCUGUUUGGGGGCCGAGGGGAAGAAGACAUGAAGAAGACCAUAAAAUUGGGCCAGGAGAGCUGCCUGAAGACUGGUGCCUGGCCUGCAAGGCAACCUUAGAAGAAAAUCAGAUUGGGAGAUGAUGACAUGGGACAUUCCGAGUGACAAAGGGGCCUGGGGCUUGGGUGAUGGUGAAUCUGUGAGCAUCUGGCUCCUACUUACAGUGAUGGAGUAUGUGGAACUGGGAAAGGAGACUGCCAUUCACAUCCCUCAUAUGUAGACACAUGCAUGGACAUAAACACAGCCCUCUUUUGCAGGAGUCAGAAAGGGUGGUGGUUCAGAGACUGGGCUCUAUAAUCCAGCAGCCCUGGAUCGAAAUCCUGUCUCUGGGCCACACGAGGUGGCUCACGCCUGUAAUGCCUGUAAUCCCAACACUUUGAGAGGCCGAGGCAGAUGGAUCACGAGGUCAGGAGAUAGAGACCAUCCUGGUCAACACGGUGAAACCCUGUCUCUACUAAAAAUACAAAAAUUAGCUGUGCAUGGUGGCACUUGCCUGUAAUCCCAGCUACUCAGGAGACUGAGGCAGGAGAAUUGCUUGAACCAGGGAGUCAGAGGUUGCAGUGAGCUGACAUCGCGCCACUGCACUCCAGUCUGGUGACAGAGUGAGACUCCAUCUCAAAAAAAAAAAAAAAAAUCCUGUCUUUGUGGCUCUGGCUGAGUCACCUGUCCUCUGUGAGCAACAGCCUCCUCACCUAUAGAAAGAAAAUGUUGCUGGCACUUAACUCAAUAUGGCUUUGUGAUGACUUGAUGAGAUGCUGCAUGCAGAGGCUGGGCACAGUGCCUGACACACGGGGAGACUCUGUGUGGAAGCUCUAAGGAUAAUACUAAAAAAUGCAGUCUCACUUCUGAAGCCAGAGAGCCAUAAAGUAUUUCAUUCAGAGUGUAAGGAGGUAAGUCCACAGGAAGACAUGAAGCCUUUCUUUUUCUUCUUCUUGUUCUUGUUGUUUUAUUUUUUGAUACAGAAUUUUCCUCUGUUGCCCAGGCUGUGUGAUUUUGGCUCGCUGCAGCCUCCGCCUCCCAAGUUCAAGCGAUUCUCAUACUUCAGCCUCCUGAGUAGCUGGAAUUCAUGCCCAGCUUAUUUUUUGUAUUUUUAGUAGAGACAGGAUUUCACCAUGUUGGCCAGGCUGGUCUCGAACUCCUGACCUCAAGUGAUCUGCCUGCCCCCACCUCUCAAAGUGCUGGGAUUACAGGCGACAGCCACCAUGCCUGACCAGCAUGAAGCCUUUCAUCUGCUGCUACCCAUUCUGUAUGGCUUACUCUGGGUGUGUGUUUGGUGAGUCUUUUGCCUUUGGUUUCUGGGACUCGUAGAGAAAUGACAGACCCUUCCUGCUGCAUUUAAUUGGAGAGGAGCACAGAGACCUGAGAUUAUAAUUAUGACGUCUUAAAUGUCAAGUGCUUCAGAAGUCUGCCCUCACUGUCACCCUGAACAGCUCUGGGAACCAAAACCCUGCAGCCACCUAGAGCAUGCCCUGAGUCUCUCAGGCAGGUUUCACCUGGGAAAUCUGAGUGACAGUGACGUGCAGGCAGCUGGAAGACGCGCAGUAAACCGAGGAGCCUGUGAUGAGCUCAGAGGAGGAGUUCAUUAAUGAAGCCCCUGUGUGCGGAUGUGCCAAAUGUGAGGAGUGCACCACUCAGGCCAAAGGUCAGGGAGGCUCCUGGGACUAAGAGAUGACCCCGCUGCCUGUGGAUGUGGCCUCCCUCCCCACUAAGGAAACAGCAGAGGCAAACAUCCAAGCUUGCCUGAUGGAGGAACUAGAAGAAAGAUUCUAUCCUUAUGUACUUAAAUACUGAUUUAUAGAUUGGUUAAUGGAGACAGAAGAAUACUAAGUGUUGGGAGCCGUUACCAGUCAAGAACCCACCCAUGAGCAUGAAAGCUAGAGCAUAUCUGGACCAUCAUGUAAGUCAGGAGGAAGACACGAUUCAAUUGACAAAAAUUUGUGUACCCGCCUCAGAAGUGCAUUAUUGUGCAAGAAAUGGUUUGGCAGUGACUCUCCCCUUUCAGCUGCAAGCCAUCAAGGGCUGAAUGCCUCUCUAGUUGCCGGGGGAGGAAUGGCUUGUAGAGCGGAUGUUCCCAGUCUGGCAGAAUCUUCUACCAAGUGUUCCCUGAGUUGGGCUGCCAGGGGGCAGGUGUUGAACAGUGAGGAAGUCCUCUCACCUGAGCAGCUUCUGAUGCAAGAGGGGUGUUGUGGGUGUGUGGAACCCUAUGCCUGUGGGUGGAGCGUGAACUUAGCCUCUUCCCUGAGAGUAGGCAGUAUGUCAUAACCACCUCUGGUUGCCCAUGGCUGGUUUGGGCAAUAUGCCAAGAUGUAGCUUUGCCUAUUUGGUUUGCUUUUUCCUUUAAAAUUUACAAAAGUUAUGCCAGGUGCAGUGACUCACGCCUGUAUCCCAGCGCUUUGGGAGGCUGAGGUGGGCGGAUUACCUGAGGUUGGGAGUUCGAGACCUGCCUGACCAACAUGGAGAAACCCUGUCUCUACAAAAAAUACAAAAUUAGUCGGGUAUGGUGGCACAUGCCUGUAAUCCCAGCUACUCUGGAGGCUGAGGCAGGAGAAUCGCUUGCACCUGGGAGGCAGAAGUUGCGGUGAGUCGAGAUGGCACCCUUGCACUCCAGCCUGGGCAACAAGAGUGAAACUCCGUCUCAAAAAAUAAAUGUAUGGAUCGAGUGCAAUAGCUCGGUCAGGCCUGUAAUCCUGGCAUUUUGGGAGGUAGAGGGAGUGGAUCACCUGAGGUCAGGAGUUCAAGACUAGCCUGGUCAACACGGUGAAACAUUGUCUCUACUAAAAAUACAAAAAUCAGCGGGUGUGGCAGUAUUCUUUGCCUGUAGUCCCAGCUACUCAGGAGGCUGAGGCAGGAGAACUGCUUGAAUCCGAGAAUCAGAGGUUUCAGUGAGCCAAGACUGUGCCACUGAACUCCAGCCUGGGUGACAGAGUGAGACUCCAUCUCAAAAAAAAAAAAAGAAAAGUCCAAACAACUAACGACUAUACAUACAGUCACUCAAGUAGCUGGGACUGCAGGCAGUGCCACCACACCCAGAAAAUAUUUGUAUUUUUAGUAGAGAUGGGUUUCAACAUGUUGGCCAGGAAGGUCUCGAUCUCUUGACCUCAUGAUUCACCUGCCUUGGCGUCUCAAAGUGCUGGGAUUACAGGCAUGAGCCACCGCACCCAGCCAGAAUGCUUUUAUAAUAUAGAAAAGUUUUGUGUGUGUGUGUGUUUUUUAAACCACAUGGCCAAUAAACCUUUACCUGGA